GACGAACGCUGGCGGCGUGCCUAAUACAUGCAAGUCGAGCGGAAGUUGAAGAGCUUGCUCUUCAACUUUAGCGGCGGACGGGUGAGUAACACGUGGGAAACCUGCCCUGCAGAUCGGGAUAACUCCGGGAAACCGGUGCUAAUACCGAAUAGUUUUCGCCACCUCCUGGUGGCGUACGGAAAGACGGUUUCGGCUGUCACUGCAGGAUGGGCCCGCGGCGCAUUAGCUAGUUGGUGGGGUAACGGCCCACCAAGGCGACGAUGCGUAGCCGACCUGAGAGGGUGAUCGGCCACACUGGGACUGAGACACGGCCCAGACUCCUACGGGAGGCAGCAGUAGGGAAUCUUCCGCAAUGGACGAAAGUCUGACGGAGCAACGCCGCGUGAGUGACGAAGGUUUUCGGAUCGUAAAACUCUGUUGUGAGGGAAGAACAAGUACCAACUAACUACUGGUACCUUAACGGUACCUCACCAGAAAGCCACGGCUAACUACGUGCCAGCCGCCGCCGUAACAC
rnacentral:rRNA from 1 species